rnacentral:sRNA from 1 species
GCUGGGCAUUGUGGUGCACUCCUGUAAUCCCAGCUACUCAGGAAGCUGAGGCAGGAGGAUUAUAAGUUCCUGGCCAACCUGGACAACUCAGUGAGACCCUGUCUCAA